rnacentral:misc_RNA from 1 species
UAUAGGAACGAUUUCUUAAAAUAUCGGAACGAUUUCCUUAAAAAACAGGAACGAUUUUUUUACGAGUAAAUAAUUAACCUAAAAAGCUUCUUUGUUGUGAGUUUUAUCUAAAUUGAUUUAUAUGAUAUCGUGUUAUAUCGUUAGGGCUUUGCAUACAAGUUUUUCUAAAGCAUUAAUUUCAUUUCUCCUAAAUUAUAAUUGUAGAGUUUCUUUUAAAGUAUUUUUUAGGAAUGAGCAGAAAAAUAUACCCAAGUGUGAGUGUUUAUUUUUUUUAUUUAUUAUGCACCUUGAGAUUCAACGCCAUGUUGAAUAUAUUAAGAGCCCAUGCUAAUCAGAGUUUCUUCAUUUCAUGAUGUCAAAAUGUUCAUCAAAUUUGUUCCUGAUUAUUUUUACAGUUUUGUCAAAAAAUAAUUACUUCUGGUAGUUUAUUACACUGGAAUACAAGUAGAAUUGCAAAACACUAAAUUUUCCAGUGUUUUUGCAACUCUACUUGUCAGAAAACAUUUCCUCGAUUUGUUGCUUUUUAUAAAUUCAAUAUUAAAACAUGCUUUUUGACCUCAUAUGUUUGCAGCUGGAACAUAUGCUGAAAUAUAAUUUGGUGAUUUUGGUUGUUAAUACUAUUAAGAUUUAAUACUAUCAAGUCAAAUUUAUGUAAAGUUUUAUAAUAUUGAAAUAAAUUUCCUUAUUUUUCUUCUGGUUUUUUAAUUAGUAAGUUAAAGUUUUUUUUAGCCUCACUGAAUAGGGUAGAUCUCAUAACUCAGGAUUCAAUUUAGUUGCUCAUUGUUGAACACUUUCUAAUUUUUGUAAAUUUUAUUUGUUACAAGGGUUCCAUAUUUGUGCUGCAUAUUCAAGAAUAGUUUAUACAAAAAUACAAUGCAGAAUAUUUAUUGUGUUUUUGUCCUUGUAAGUAAUUGGUUUGUAUAAUUUACCUAACUAAUUAUUUUCUUUAUUUACAACAUUUACAAAAUGCAAACUUAGGAGGAAAAUAUAUUUCGGAUGUUUUCUGAAUCUUUUACCCAAAAAUUUUUCCGGAAUUUCAAAAUAUGGUCUGAAUAAUUUAUGCAAUAACCUUGUAAUUUUUUUUAAAAAGACUGUUGUUUAAUGCAUAAAAGAAUAUUAAUCUCUAAAUAAUUUCUUAGAUUAUUUAUAAAACAAGGAUACUGAUUGAUAUUUUUUUGCUUACAGUUUGCUUCCAUUUUUAAAUACUAACAUUAGUCAAUUUCUAGAUUUCAGAAAGAUCACAAUUUGUAAAACUUUGUUGAUAAAUAAUUGACAAUGGUAUUGAAAAACUUUCAAAGCAAAGUUUUAACACAUUUAAGUUUACUUUGUCAUACCCACUAGAUUUAUAUAUGAUUAAUUUUGAUAAGUAUAGUUUUACAAGUGCUUGAUCAACAGCAAUUUUUCCAAAUCUAGUAUUUAUUUGUGCUUUAAAAUUACAUACAUUUGCAUUCUUUUCCUUAAAGCAGACAGAAUAAAGGAACUUUUUCAAAAUAUCAACAAUGCAUUUGUCAUUUGUUGUGCCAGUGUUAUUAUUAAGUACUCUUAUAUGAUUUUUUACUUUCCACUUUUUUUUAAUUAUAUGUAAAAUAGUAAUUUGGGCUCAUUUUUUACCUUAGUUAUCAGUUUUUUUCAUAUAUUAUCACAAUAUUGAUUUUUUACUUUAGAAUGUUUUUUUUUAAUUUAAUUUAGUAUAUUUCUCUUUGGAGCCAGAUAUAGACCAAAUUAUUUAUUUCCUUAUUUUCCAUUAAUUAUUUUUGUACUAAUUUUUUUUUCUUAAGCUAUUUAACACCCGAAAUUUGGUUGCUUUAUAAUUUUUUUUUUCCUAGAUAUUUUCUGAACAAAUUUUUUUUAACAAAAAUAAAAAGACUUAAAAAAAUGGUAUCAGCAUUCCUAUGCAGAACCCACAAUUGUUUAUGUACUAAUUAUGGCUGUCUCUUCUUACUACGUGACUAUCAUAUAGCUCCUUAAAAUUUCUCAAUCCUGGAGCAUCAUUAAUUUGCUCUGGCAAAGAAUUCCAGUUAUUUACUAUACGAUUAGUGAAAAAAGUUCACCUCUGUUGGCAAUGCUUCACCAGUUGAUAUUUUAUUUGCAUAACAUAAUCAGGAGUACCACCAGCAGGUACAUUGCAAUGAAGGGAGGGAAGAGACAUUAGUGGGGGAUGCCAAUUAAUGACAUCAAUCUGACGUACUAUUUUAAAAUGCUGUAUCAUAUCACUUUUGAUCCUUCUCUCAGGCAGGUUGGUAAGUCCUAGGUAGUAAGUUAGGGUGGUAAGUCCUAGGUGGUAAGUUAGGGUGGUAAGUCCUAGUUCUUUGAGUUUUUCUUAGUAUUGAUGCUUUGAUAUCAAGAAAAUUACUUCUGUAGUUUUUCUUUGAAUGUUUUUUAAAAUAUUGAUGUCACUCGCUUGAUAAGGUGACUAAGAUUGAACUGCAACUUCUAAAUGUGAUCUAUUAUAAAUUAUUUAAAGCGAUUUCCACAGAUUUAAACCUCUAUGUUAAAAUUUUUUUUUAAAUUUCAAGUAUUUGAUUGGGCUUCAUAGCAGCAGAAUCUACUUGCGUCUUAACUUUAAAGUUAUCAGAGAUAAGUACACCUAAAUCUUGUAUGCCAUUGUCAUAAUACAUAUAGUAUUUUUGAUUUGAUUUAGUCGAUCCUUUACCGAUAUGCAUGACCUUACAUUUUUUAAUAUUAAAUUUCAUCUGCCAAUUUCCUGACCAUUCAACUGCUUUAUUGAUAUCAGAUUGUAAAAAAUCCACACCUGAUGAUUAUCCCAAUGAGCUGAUUACCCCUAUGAUUUUGCUAUCAUUAGCAUAUAAUUUUAUAUUGUGUGUCAAUUUAUCUGGUAGGUCAUUAAUAUAUAACAGAAAUAGCAGGGUACCGGACUGAUCCCUGUGGGACACCGCUGACUAGAUCUUUCCAUUAAAAAAAAAACAUUUUUCAAUAUGAUAUCUUUACUACUCAAACCAAGUGGUGGCAAAUGAGAUAAACCAAAAACACAAUAGCUAUCUUUUCAAUUAUUUGUUUCUUACUGUAACAAUCUUAACAGUUUUAUAAAAUUUUGUCAUUUCUAUAUGAAAAAAAAUUAUAAUAUAUGCUUUAUAUUUUGCUUUAAAGAGAAGAUCAGUUGAAAGUUCAACUAGUAAUCAACAAUAUGAUUUCCGAUUAAGAAAAAUAAUCAACAAUUGUUCCAAUGAGGACGAAUAUGAAAAGGUUUUCAUUGACAAUACCAUUGGCUAUGGAAUAUUUACAAAAAAAGAACUUCAACCAGGUGAAGCCCUACUUGAAUACAAAGGAGAGAUUAUUACUAGAAAAGAAGCAAAAGCUAGAAGCCAAAUGUAUUCUCUUAAAAAUAAAGGGUGCUUUAUUUUUGAUCUAUAUAUAGAUGGAAAAAAAAAGAGCAUUGAUGGUACAGAUUCACACUGUUUUGCACGGUUUGUAAAUGAUGCUUCUGAAAAGUUUUCAAAUUGCUUACCUAAAACUCAUAUCAUAGAUGGAAGACUGCACCUUUUUUAAUAGCUAAUAAAUUCAUUUUUAAAGGCACAGAGUUAAGAUAUGACUAUGGUGAUAGCUCUAAUCAGUGUUGGAGAAAGAAUCAAAAAUAUCAGAAACCUUUCACAAUCGAUGAUAUCAAAGCAUAUUUACAUGGAAAAGAAUUGCAGAGAAAAGUGAGUCUCACUCCAUCGAUGGUAUUUGCAUCAAAAGGAUGUGAGUUUAAAAAGGUGUUUCCAUCACAACCAGAUGAUUUCAAAAAACACAUAAGCCCAACAUGUAGUAAUAUUUGUAAUGCAAGUUUUACAGAUAUUUAUGAAAGUCAUACAGCUUCAGAAGUUGUUGCUUCUGAAAAUCAUGUUUUAAA